AAGCUUCACCGGGGGUGCUCUUUUUGCCGUUCGGCAAGAAGCGCUGAGAAAUACCCCUCUCACCUGAUCUGGGUUGUGCCAGCGUAGGGAGCGUGAUGGGUCGGCGCC
rnacentral:ncRNA from 2 species